UUAAAUGAAGUUGACGGGGCCGCACAAGCGGAGGAACAUGUGGUUAAUCGAUGAUACGCGAGGAACCUUACCUGGGCUUAAAUGUAGAGUGCAUUUUCUAGAGAUAGGAAUUCCCUUCGGGGCUUUCUGCAAGGUGCUGCAUGGUUGUCGUCAGCUCGUGCCGUGAGGUGUCGGGUUAAGUCCCAUAACGAGCGCAACCCUUAUCGUUAGUUGCCAUCUGGUAAAGCAGGGGACUCUAGCGAAACUGCCACCGUAAGGUGAGAGGAAGGUGGGGAUGACGUCAAAUCAGCACGGCCCUUAUGUCCAGGGCUACACACGUGUUACAAUGGCCGGUACAGAGGGCAGCUACCUGGUGACAGGAUGCUAAUCUCGAAAACCGGUCUCAGUUCGGAUCGAAGUCUGCAACUCGAGAGCAUGAAGUCGGAAUCGCUAGUAAUCGCGGAUCAGCAUGUCGCGGUGAAUACGUUCCCGGGUCUU
rnacentral:rRNA from 1 species